rnacentral:rRNA from 1 species
AGGACACUGUUUGGUGGGUAGUUUGACUGGGGUGGUCGCCUCCAAAAGCGUAACGGAGGCUUCUAAAGGUGCCCU